rnacentral:rRNA from 1 species
UACGCAGGGGGCGAGCGUUGUCCGGAUUUACUGGGCGUAAACCGCUUGUAGGCGGCCACCCCAAGUCGGCUGUGAAAUCUCCCGGCUUAACUGGGAGCGGUCAUGCGAUACUGGCGGGCUCGAGGCAGGUAGGGGGAGGCGGAAUUCCCGGUGUAGUGGUGGAAUGCGUAGAUAUCGGGAGGAACACCAGUGGCGAAGGCGGCUUCCUGGACCUGUUCUGACGCUGAGGAGCGAAAGCGUGGGGAGCGAUCCGG